rnacentral:rRNA from 1 species
CCUACGGGAGGCAGCAGUGAGGAAUAUUGGUCAAUGGCCGGAAGGCUGAACCAGCCAUGCCGCGUGAAGGUCAGUGCCCUAUGGGCGUUAAACUUCUUUUGUGCGGGAGCAAUAAUGGUCACGUGUGGCCAGACGAGAGUACCGUACGAAUAAGCAUCGGCUAACUCCGUGCCAGCAGCCGCGGUAAUACGGGGGAUGCAAGCGUUAUCCGGAUUUAUUGGGUUUAAAGGGUGCGUAGGCUGUGAGGUAAGUCAGCGGUGAAAUGCCCCCGCUCAACGGGGUGAAGUGCCAUUGAUACUGCCUUGCUGGAAUGCGGAUGCCGUGGGAGGAAUGUGUGGUGUAGCGGUGACAUGCAUAGAUAUCACACAGAACACCGAUUGCGAAGGCAUCUCACGAAUCCGCGAUUGACGCUGAUGCACGAAAGCGUGGGUAUCAAACAGGAGUAGAUACCCCAGUAGUC